GACAGCGUAGUGAAGUGGUUUGAGCACUGGUCUACGAUUCUGGAGACCAGGGUUCGAAUCCCUGCUCGGCCA